GACGAAGGGGGCUAGCGUUGUUCGGAAUUACUGGGCGUAAAGCGCGUGUAGGCGGUUGUCCAAGUUGGAUGUGAAAGCCUUGAGCUUAAACUCAAGAAAUGCAUUCAGGACUGGAUGACUAGAGGACCGGAGAGGAUAGUGGAAUUCCCAGUGUAGUGGUGAAAAUACGUAGAGAUUGGGAAGAACACCAGUGGCGAAGGCGGCUAUCUGGACGGUUUCUGACGCUAAGACGCGAAAGCGUGGGGAGCAAACAGG
rnacentral:rRNA from 1 species